CCCUUCGGGGUGUGACUGCGUACCUUUUGUAUAAUGGGUCAGCGACUUAUAUUCUGUAGCAAGGUUAACCGUAUAGGGGAGCCGGAGGGAAACCGAGUCUUAACCGGGCGUUAAGUUGCAGGGUAUAGACCCGAAACCCGGUGAUCUAGCCAUGGGCAGGUUGAAGGUUGGGUAACACUAACUGGAGGACCGAACCGACUAAUGUUGAAAAAUUAGCGGAUGACCUGUGGCUGGGGGUGAAAGGCCAAUCAAACCGGGAGAUAGCUGGUUCUCCCCGAAAGCUAUUUAGGUAGCGCCUCGUGAAUUCAUCUCCGGGGGUAGAGCACUGUUUCGGCUAGGGGGCCAUCCCGGCUUACCAACCCGAUGCAAACUGCGAAUACCGGAGAAUGUUAUCACGGGAGACACACGGCGGGUGCUAACGUCCGUCGUGAAGAGGGAAACAACCCAGACCGCCAGCUAAGGUCCCAAAGUCAUGGUUAAGUGGGAAACGAUGUGGGAAGGCCCAGACAGCCAGGAUGUUGGCUUAGAAGCAGCCAUCAUUUAAAGAAAGCGUAAUAGCUCACUGGUCGAGUCGGCCUGCGCGGAAGAUGUAACGGGGCUAAACCAUGCACCGAAGCUGCGGCAGCGAACGUAUCACCCAAGACAACUUUACGGAGUUGACGAUUGACGGAGCGAAGCGACGUCAAAGCGUUCAUUAAAGUCGAGUUGGCUUAGGGAUACGUUCGUUGGGUAGGGGAGCGUUCUGUAAGCCUGUGAAGGUGUGUCGUGAGGCAUGCUGGAGGUAUCAGAAGUGCGAAUGCUGACAUAAGUAACGAUAAAGCGGGUGAAAAGCCCGCUCGCCGGAAGACCAAGGGUUCCUGUCCAACGUUAAUCGGGGCAGGGUGAGUCGACCCCUAAGGCGAGGCCGAAAGGCGUAGUCGAUGGGAAACGGGUUAAUAUUCCCGUACUUGGUGUUACUGCGAAGGGG
rnacentral:rRNA from 1 species